GACAGAGGAUGCAAGCGUUAUCCGGAAUGAUUGGGCGUAAAGCGUCUGUAGGUGGCUUUUAAGUCCGCCGUCAAAUCCAGGGCUCAACCCUGGACAGGCGGUGGAAACUACCAAGCUGGAGUACGGUAGGGCAGAGGGAAUUUCCGGUGGAGCGGUGAAAUGCGUAGAGAUCGGAAAGAACACCAACGGCGAAAGCACUCUGCUGGCCGACACUGACACUGAGAGACGAAAGCUAGGGAGCGAAUGGG
rnacentral:rRNA from 1 species